rnacentral:lncRNA from 1 species
CCGGCGGAUGUACAGGUUGGUACUGGGAGGAAGAAUACAUUGAACACAUUAAGAAAUCUUUUGCACAGGUUGUUGAGGCUGAAGGUGGUGAGGCAGUGAGCCGACGAAAGGAGUUCAAUGAUGUUGAUCAAGCGAAUGAUCUAUCUAUUAUAGUUGGGAUCGGACGCGAACUAAUUAUGUUGCUUAAGUGCAUUUUAGUUUUGUUUUUUUAAUGCUAGUUGCGAUUGUAUUUGUUAUAGCCAAGCUUUCCUAAAUUAAUCAACUAUGUAUCUUAGACAUGUUGUGCAAUAAGAUGAGAAACUAUAUGUGUGCAUGGUUUUCAUAAUAUAUAUGUUAUCUUUAAUGCAGAUGGUAACACGUAAUUGGCUGUAUAAUGCCGAUCGGCGCUCCGAAGAGUUCAUUA